UCAAAGGUUUAUUCAAGGACCACAGACUCGCCUGCGGCAGUCAAAUCUUCUUUCACCUUCUGCUCUCAUUGAGUGUUACUGAAAACUGAGUAAUUGUUCUCGCUACUCUAAACACAAGAAAAUCAUCCUCCUCUUCUAGAAGGAACUUAGAGAUUCCAGGGGUCCCAGUCCAUUUGCAAACUCUACAGAAGGUUUACAAUAACUAAGGUCAUUUGCUUGCAGGAAAAAAAACGUACUAGUGGCAGUUUUGAACAUAUGGUGUUAGAGUUCUCACUAACUGUUGCUUCUAGGACCAUGGGAGCUUCCCAGCAGAGAUUCUGCUCCACGCCAGUGAAUGAAGAUCUUCACCCAAAACUCUUUCAAGAGAUUUAUUUGUGCAAAAGGAAUCCAGGAGAGUGACUGCCUCUGCCAGGGUGGAGGAAGACAGGAAUUUCUCUCAAACAAAUAAGGGACCAGAAGAAUUCCCCCAUCUUUCAAGUUUCACAUCUAGCUCAAGAUUUAUAUUCCAGAGUGCUUUGGAUGUUACCUUAACCACAUCAGUUAUUACAAUGCCCUCUUAUUUAAGACAUUAGGAAUAGUAAACCUAUCCUGGAGAGAUAUCACUGCCUUCAAGAAUUUUCCUUUUCAGCUUGAGUAUCAUAAGCCACU